rnacentral:rRNA from 1 species
AACGAACGCUGGCGGCAGGCCUAACACAUGCAAGUCGAACGCCCUAGCAAUAGGGAGUGGCAGACGGGUGAGUAACACGUGGGAACCUUCCCUAUACUACGGAAUAGCCCAGGGAAACUCGGAGUAAGACCGUCUACGCCCGCGAGGGGCCAGAUUUAUCGGUAUAGGAUGGGCCAGCGUCGGAUUAGCUAGUUGGUGAGGUAACGGCGCACCAAGGCGACGAUCCGUAGCUGGUUUGAGAGAACGACCAGCCACACUGGGACUGAGACACGGCCCAGACUCCUACGGGAGGCAGCAGUGGGGAAUAUUGGACAAUGGGCGCAAGCCUGAUCCAGCCAUGCCGCGUGAGUGAUGAAGGCCUUAGGGUUGUAAAGCUCUUUUGCCGGGGACGAUAAUGACGGUACCCGGAGAAUAAGCUCCGGCUAACUUCGUGCCAGCAGCCGCAGUAACAC